rnacentral:rRNA from 1 species
AGGACGAACGCUGGCGGCGUGCUUAACACAUGCAAGUCGAGGGCACUUAUGCAGCAAUGUGUGAGUGACCGGCGAACGGGUGCGUAACACGUGAGCGACCUUGCCUCGUGGUGGGGGAUAGCCGGCCCAACGGCCGGGUAAUACCGCAUAGGGUGGUCUUUUCGCAUGGAGAGACCAGCAAAGCCUUGCAGCAAUGCAAUGGCGCCACAGGGGGGGCUCGCGGCCUAUCAGCUAGUUGGGGGGGUAAUGGCCCACCAAGGCUAUGACGGGUAGCUGGUCUGAGAGGACGACCAGCCACACUGGAACUGAGACACGGUCCAGACACCUACGGGUGGCAGCAGUCGAGAUUUUCACAAUGGACGAAGUCUGAUGGAGCGACGCCGCGUGGAGGAUGAAGGUUUUCGGAUUGUAACUCCUGUCACUGCAGAACAGGAUGUGUGUAUGAACAGUACAUGCAUUUGAUGGUAUGA